rnacentral:rRNA from 1 species
GCUUCCUUCGGGAAGUGGAUUAGCGGCGGACGGGUGAGUAACACGUGGGUAACCUGCCUCAAAGUGGGGGAUAGCCUUCCGAAAGGAAGAUUAAUACCGCAUAACAUGAGAGAAUCGCAUGAUUUUUUUAUCAAAGAUUUAUUGCUUUGAGAUGGACCCGCGGCGCAUUAGCUAGUUGGUAAGGUAACGGCUUACCAAGGCAACGAUGCGUAGCCGACCUGAGAGGGUGAUCGGCCACAUUGGAACUGAGACACGGUCCAGACUCCUACGGGAGGCAGCAGUGGGGAAUAUUGCGCAAUGGGGGAAACCCUGACGCAGCAACGCCGCGUGGGUGAUGAAGGUCUUCGGAUUGUAAAGCCCUGUUUUCUGGGACGAUAAUGACGGUACCAGAGGAGGAAGCCACGGCUAACUACGUGCCAGCAGCCGCGGUAAUACGUAGGUGGCGAGCGUUGUCCGGAUUUACUGGGCGUAAAGGGUGCGUAGGCGGAUGUUUAAGUGGGAUGUGAAAUCCCCGGGCUUAACCUGGGGGCUGCAUUCCAAACUGGAUAUCUAGAGUGCAGGAGAGGAAAGCGGAAUUCCUAGUGUAGCGGUGAAAUGCGUAGAGAUUAGGAAGAACACCAGUGGCGAAGGCGGCUUUCUGGACUGUAACUGACGCUGAGGCACGAAAGCGUGGGUAGCAAACAGGAUUAGAUACCCUGGUAGUCCACGCCGUAAACGAUGGAUACUAGGUGUA